CCGCCGUCUCGUCGGUCUCCCCUCCCACCCCGACCCCUCCUCCGCCAGCCGCGUCCUCCCGGGCUCGGUGAGGAACUGUUCCUGGAGGAGCCGCGGGACGCCAAAACCAGCCAAUGGGAAGCGGCAGUGCGCGGAGAUUGGCACUGAAGAUGGGAAGGCUGAAAAUAACAAGUUACCAUCCUCAGGGAAUCAACGAUUCAACAAUUUAAUGAGCAAUAACUUCUGGUGAGACUGUGGUUCUCAAACAUUAGCAAGCAUCAGCAUCACCUGGAGGACCUAUGAAUGCAGAGAUCGCUGCACACCCCCAGUUUCCAAUCUCAGAGGUCCAAGGAGGGCUCUAGAAUUUGCAUUUCUAGAGAGCUCCCAGGGACAGCAGACAACUACCUGUGGUUGGUCAGGAGAUGCUGGAAGACUGGCGGAGAGCUGCCGAUGGGAUAGUGAAGAGCAGAGGCUUGUGGACUGGACCUGUGUGGUUUCGUAGGUGAGAGGAGCGAGGUAAAGGAGAGCAGGCGCGAAGCCCGGCCUGGAAGCUGUUUAGUCUGGAGUUGGCCCAACUGGAUAUAGAACCCAAAAGAAGGGAAGGUUUGGUAAAACUAGGGUCAGCAAACUGUGACCUGCAGGCCAAAUCCGGCCUGCCUCCAGGUGUUUUUUUCCCCAAAGACAGAAUCUUGUUCUGUUGCCCAGGUGGAGUAUGGC